ensembl:snoRNA
CCAGAUCUUUGAGGCUGUGGAAUGUGCACCUGGCAAAUGGCCUGAGUAAGAUUCCAGAAACUUGCCUCACUGCCUGCCUUCCAAGAACAGC